UACGUAGGGACCAAGCGUUGUCCGGAAACAUUGGGCGUAAAGAGCGUGUAGGCGGCUUGUUAAGUCUUGCGUGAAAUCUCGGGGCUCAACCCCGAGCGGUCGUGAGAAACUGGCAGGCUAGAGUGCGGGAGAGGAGAGUGGAAUUCCUGGUGUAGCGGUGAAAUGCGCAGAUAUCAGGAAGAACACCCGUGGCGAAGGCGGCUCUCUGGAACGCAACUGACGCUGAGACGCGAAAGCGUGGGGAGCAAACAGG
rnacentral:rRNA from 1 species